GUUACCAUCCCCCAAGGCAAACACCUAAUGAUUGCUUAGCAUCGAAGCAAGUUUUUUUAACUUUGGAGUCUCCUCAAAAACCAAAGCUUUGAAAUGAAGAUCUCAAGGAGCUGUUAUUUCCCAUAUAAAACAAGGCAGCAAUAACCAGAACUGCAAUUAGAACCCACCACAUCCAUGGUUGAAUUCGUCUCUUACCACGGUUGCGAAUAGCCAUGGGUAAAGCUUUCACCUUGUUUUGUUUUGUGAAUUGAGAUGGUUUCACUGCUCGUUUUGUUACCUCAACUGGUUUCUCGAUCUGAUCAGAUUCUUCAAGAGUUCUUGUCAGAGUUUCAGAGCUAGGAGAAGCUGCAGCAUCUUGUUCUGUAUUCUCCACAGCAUCUUCAGUAGUAACUGUCUUUCUUUUUCCCUUCUUCUUUGCUCUUUUCUCCCUUUCCUGCACAAAUAGGCAUGGUUAUAUUAUAUAGCUGAAGAACUACCGGUAAAUGAAUUUUAGUUUAAGCUUAUUGACUAUUCACUCUGCAGUAUAAAAAAUAUUUACCAUGGUCAAUUAAUCACAUUUAAUUUAAUGGGAUAGACAUUUAGAAACAUUUAAUCACGACAAACGGAAAUCAUAAUGUAAUGUGAUUACAUGCGUAAUUAAACUAAUCAUUUUACGAGUUUAACUCAUAAUGUUAUUACCUUCUCUUUUUGCUCAGCUUCUUUUUGUGCCUUAUAGAGAGCCCUUUGUUGGGCCUUUUCGGCAUUACGCUUUUUCCUCUGCAGUGCCUCCUUAGCUUUCUCAAUUUCCUCUAGCCUUUUCUUUUCCUUCAGCUUUGCUUCUUCUUCCUUCUUCCUCGCCUGUUCAGCCUUUAAGAUCUGCUCGUCUUCCUCCUUUGUUCUCACAGGUUCAUUAGGUUCCUUCUCUUCAUCGGACUCAUCCCCCCAACGAGAAACUCGAUCUGCUGACUUCUUCUCUGAAGGAGCAAGUUUUGCAGGCUUUUUAGGUUUACUUGUCUGGCUUAUUUCAGGUUUUUGUACCACAGCCUUGGAAGCAGGUUCAUCCUUUGUAUUAACAGUAACAGGUUCUGUUGGUAUUGAUUUCUUUUGUUGUUCAGGGGUUGACUGCGAAACUGAAGAAUCAUUUUUGUAAGCUCUUUCAAUGAAGGCAGGAAUCAUGGGCGGCUCUUCACCAGGAUUAAGCGUUCGGCCAUCUAAAGUUUGCAGUCUCCUCACUGUACUCCUGGUGUUGCACCGGUAAUAGUCCUUUCUGAACUCAUCAUUCUUCAACAGCUCAUGCAUUCUCUCAGCCUGAAAGCUUAUUGGUAAGUGCCACAUUCAAGUUUAUUCGCCUAAUAAUACAGCGCAGUAAUAGAAUGAUAAACUCUACUCGUUUCAAGUGUAAAAAGGAUCACCUGAUCAAUACAUAAGCGCUCCACGUCCUCUUUCUUCCCCUGUGCUCCUAGUUCUUGCAGUCUCAUUGAAGCACUUCUGUAUUCCCAAAAAUAUUUGCUCUGCACAGUAUGGUGAACAAAACUAGGCUAAGCAUUUGCUAUUAGCAUUGUACAUUUUUAUAGAGUAAGUUAAAAAUGUUUUGAUUCUAGAACAGAAAAAAUUAUUAAAUUCAUCAAAGAUGUAUCACCAAAGAACACAUCAUCCUGCAGAACAACCUAGUUCAGCAGAUAAUAUUUUACGCUGUUAAAAAAAAAAAAAAAAGUUGAGGUGAUAUGUGUUUGCCUACUAACACUAGUCUCCAGACACUAUUCAGUGUAGCCUAGAUAAUACAGUAAUCCUGAAAAUGAGAUAUCCAUUGGGCCAACACAGCCUAAGCAUUAAAUUCUUUAAUCCACAAAGGUGUGUGGCAUUUGUUGCGUACUUUAAUGGCACAAGGAAACCACAAAGCAACAUAUUCCUUUUGCACUAGCUACUCAAUAAUCGAUUAUUACUUCAUGAGUACAUGGUUUUAAUUUCCUUAGACCAUCUAGAUUUCUACAAGCAACUAAACCAGUAUAAGCUAGUAUUGGAACUAAAAGCCCUAGAUUUGGCAUUAGUAUCAAAGUAAAUCUUCCUACCUUCCUCAUUGUGAAUAAGCACUCAAGUUUCAAAAUAUUAAAGCCAAAGCAAUCAAAGAGUAGAUUGUGUACUGUUAUGAUAAACAAAACAAAUACCUUUCUACAAUAUUUCCCUCAAGGAAAAAGGGCAGAAAAAACGGAAUGAAAUAGAUAGGAAAGAAAAAUCAAACCUUCUCAUGCAAUUGCCUUUUCAAAGUUUGUAACUUGACAAAUGCCUCUUGACGAGUGUCAUCAGCAGCGUUAUACCGAGCCAUAACCUCAUCCACUUGAUUACCUUCUUCCUCAUAUUUCUUCUUUGCUGCUUUAGUUAUUGCUUCUGCCUUCAGAAGAUUACUUCUAAGCACAUCCAAUUCCUUCCUCAAAAGCUGUAAUCGCUGAAAAUAUUUAAGUCAAAGACAAUGCUCAGUUAGUUAAUACAAAAGAUACAGGUAGUUAAUUCCAUUAAUUUGGGAAAUAUAAUUAAAAGCAACAUGAUUCUAGUACCUUAGUUUGCUCUUCCAUGCUUUCUUUGUCGUCGAGAGAUUGUGAUUGAUCCUGUUUUGCAAUAAUAUUAGACAGCUCGCCGCGAUUCUGCUUCAAUAGUUUGAUUUGGCGAAUCAAUUGCUUUUCUUCUUUUAGAGGCAGAGUUUCAUGCUGGAUCAUGUGUUCCAUGUUUCGAAUCUGAAAAUAAAUUACAAAUCUAGAGAUGUUAACACAACAAAACAGAUAUAAAAAUCAAAUCGUGAUAAAUAUCUCUGGACUACAAAAUGAGUGCAUUACCUUGCUAUCUAUGUCCCCGACAGAAAUUGCAUUGUUUAAUCUAUUCAUGGUGGAUUGAACUGAAUCCAUCUCUUGUCGUUUGGCUUUGAGCAACUCCCUAGCAGCUCUCUCUUCUUGUACUGCAGCUCUAAAUUCUUGAUUAUACUCUUUACGAAGGGCCUGAACAAAUUAAUCAUUCAAAAUAAUUAUCUAAAAUCAUAUACUGUUCUUCAUUUAACAGUGAUAUAUUCUAUUUUACCAAUCAAACUAAUAACAAUAUAAUAUAUUGUGUCGACUGCUUACCUUUUUAGCCUGGCUUUCAGUUCGAAUUUCGUCGCGGAUUUUAGUCUGCUCCUCUACUUGUUGAAGAGCAUGUUGAAUCUGCUCUUUUACAUUGUCAUCAUCAUCGUAUCUCGGAACCCGGACCAACCAAUAGAAUGGCCUCCUCACCACCUCAGAGCCCAUGUCCUGUGCAUCCACCACAUCGGUGGCAGAUGCAUCCACAGCAUCAGGGGCAGAUGCUUCUUGGGAUGUUUUCAAAUCUUCAUCUGUUGUCUGAUUGCUACCUUCAGCUGAAGUUUGAGCUUCAACUGAAGGUUCAGCUUCAAUAGAGGUCUCGCCUUCAACCAAAGUUUCAGCUUCAACUGAAGGCUCCGCUUCAAUUGAAAUUUCGGCUUCAACUGAAGUUUCAAUUGAUGUUUCGGCUUCGACCGAAGUUUCGGCUUCAACCGCAGUUUCAGUUUCAACUGAAGGUUCAACUUCUCUAUCGACAGCAUUGGUUUUCAAAUCUGCAACAUCAACAGAAGGCUUAGCCUCACUCUGCACUACAUUGUUCAAAACUUCAGCUUCACCCUCCACUAGUUCCGUUGAAGGUUCGGCUUCACUCUCCACCACCGUUUCAAUUGAAGGUUCAGCUUCACAUUCCACCACUGUUUCUGUUGAAGGCUCGGAUUCACUCUCAGCUGUUUCCUUUGAAGGUUCAACUUCAUCCCCAACUGCAUCGUUUUUAAUCUCAGAGACUUCAAUAGAUUCACCUUCACCCUUGACAGCAUUAUCUGAAGGUUCAGCCUCACUCUUCUCUUUAAUGUCUUUCACCUCAGAAGUAACAACAGAAGGUUCAUUUUCACCUUCACCAGCAGGUUCUGGUAUCUCAACAGACCUCUCCGAUUCGCCGACAUCAAGAGGAAUCACAUUCUCCUCAAUGCAUUCACUCACCUCAACCUCCGCCAAACCAUUAUCAGAGACAGGCUCAACCGGCACCUUCUCCAAACCAUUUUCAACAAUUGUAUCAGAGACAGACUCAACGGACACCUUCUCUAAAUCAUUUUGAGUAUCUACAUUAACAUCAACCGGAGUAUCCUUCUCAUCUGCAUGAUCACAAACUCCAUUAACAUCAACUGGAGUUUCAUUCUUCUCGACCGAUUCACUCACUUCAGCAUCAACCACGGUUUCCAAUUCAACUUCCCGAAUUUCGUUUUUCUCAGCUGAUUCACUCACUUCAGAAUCAACUGCAGUUUCCAAAAUUUCGUUCUUCUCAGCUGACUCACUCACUUCAGAAUCAACUGCAGUUUCCAAUUGAACAUCAAGAUUUUCAUUCUUCUGAGCUGAUUCACUCACUUCAGAAUCAACUACAUUUUCCAACUCAACAUCACAAUUUUCAUUCUUUGCAGCUGAUUCAAUUUCACCAUCAACUACAGUUUCCAAUUCAACAUCGUGAUUUUCAUUCUUCUCAGCUGAAGCUGAUUCACUCACUUCAGGAACGACACUUUCCAAUUCAACCUCACCAUUUUCAAUUUCGUUCUUCUCAGCUGAUUCAACUUCACCAUCAACUGCAGUUUCCAAUUCAACAUCACGAAUUUCGUUCUUUCCAUCGGAAAGAUUUUCGCUUUCGUGAUCUUUAGAUUCGGUGGUUCUUUCCACCACAUCAGAAUCAACCACCUCCACAGCAUCCGUAGAAUCAGCAACAUCAGCAACAGAAACCUCCUCGAUCUCUUUAACUCCGUUUUCAACACCUUCCAAUUCACGAUCACUCUUGUCCACGUCAGCAACAACAGCAUCGCAAAUCUCAUUCUUCUCAACGACACCGUUUUGAUCCUCCACCUUCACUUCUUCUUCUUCACGAAUCUCAUUUUCAACAAGAUUCUCCUUCUCCACCGCACAUUCCUUCAAUUCUCCACCGUUUUCAACAAUCACAAAUUCAUCAUCAUUAACGUUAUUCUCAUCAGAUCCCGAACCGUUUUCACAAAUCUUCUCUUCCCGCUCAACGACAUCAACCGUUGUCGUUUCACCGUUAGAAUUCAUAACCGUCACUUCAGAUUCGUUGUUAUGAUCCUCUACCGCUACUCCACCUUUACCGUUAGCGUCAACGGUAACGAUCGGAUCUGAAAGAACGGAAUCAGAAACACCGACAUUGCCGUUAACAGAAAUUUCCUUACCAUUACAAUGCUCUGUGAUCUUGUUGUUGUGAUUACGAUCUUCACUUUCACCUUCACCGCCUUCGACGCCGACGUCGUCGGUGUUAUCGGAAAUUUGUUUGCUGUGUACGUUCAACACCUCCUCCGCUGUCAUUGCGCUUCCUGAAAAAGCUCAAGAAAUUGAAAAGCGCGUUUGGAUCACAAUCAAAAUCAAGAUUAUAAUAAAAUUUGAAAUCGUGAUUUUGAAUAAAUCAAAGAAAAUUGAGAAAUUGCUUACGGAAGUGUAGAUCAAAGAAAAAAGAGAGAGAUGAAGGGAAAUAAGUUAGUUGGGUGGGAACACAGAAAGAGAUGUAGAUGCAGAUAAAUAGCCGACAGAGAAGAAGAGAAGAGAAAAUAUAAAUAAACAAGAAGAGAAAGGUAAUGUUAUUGGUAUUUAUAAAACUCUUAAUUAGAUUUUCAUUUUUCACUUUAUUAUCUUUUUAAUUUGAAUUUAUUGUUAUUGUUAUUACUUACGAUUCUGUUUUUUU
rnacentral:lncRNA from 1 species